rnacentral:snRNA from 1 species
AGCCUCUGGUCGAUGGAAC